rnacentral:rRNA from 1 species
GAGACCCGUACCCACAGUUGCCAGCGGCUGCUCCGGCAGGCUGGGUACACUAUGGGGACCGCCUCUGCUAAAGAGGAGGAAGGAGCGGGCGACGGUAGGUCAGUAUGCCCCGAAUUCUCCGGGCUACACGCGGGCUACAAUGGAUGGGACAAUGGGCUCCGACACCGAAAGGUGAAGGCAAUCUCUUAAACCCAUUCUUAGUUCGGAUUGAGGGCUGAAACUCGCCCUCAUGAAGCUGGAAUCCGUAGUAAUCGCGUUUCAACAUAGCGCGGUGAAUGC